CGAGACUUGGAGCCAGAAUCUGAGCCUCAGCUGGAGUCAGAGACAGCAGGAAAAUGGGUCCUGUGUAAUUAUGACUUCCAGGCCCGCAACAGCAGUGAGCUGUCGGUCAAGCAGCGGGACGUACUGGAGGUCCUGGAUGACAGUCGUAAGUGGUGGAAGGUUCGGGACCCAGCGGGGCAGGAGGGAUAUGUGCCCUACAACAUCCUGACACCCUACCCCGGACCCCGGCUGCACCACAGCCAAAGCCCUGCCCGCAGCCUGAACAGCACUCCUCCUCCACCACCAGCCCCAGCCCCGGCCCCACCUCCAGCUCUGGCUCGGCCCCGCUGGGACAGGCCCCGCUGGGACAGCUGCGAUAGCCUCAACGGCUUGGACCCCAGCGAGAAGGAAAUUCUCCCAGAUGCUCAUCGUCAACGAGGAACUGCAGGCGCGCCUGGCCCAGGGCCGCUCGGGACCGAGCCGCGCAGUCCCAGGGCCCCGCGCCCCGGAACCGCAGCUCAGCCCGGGCUCGGACGCCUCCGAGGUCCGCGCCUGGCUGCAGGCCAAGGGCUUUAGCUCCGGGACCGUGGACGCGCUGGGUGUGCUGACCGGGGCGCAGCUUUUCUCGCUGCAGAAGGAGGAGCUGCGGGCGGUGAGCCCCGAGGAGGGGGCACGUGUGUACAGCCAGGUCACCGUGCAGCGCUCGCUGCUGGAGGACAAAGAGAAAGUGUCAGAGCUGGAGGCAGUGAUGGAGAAGCAAAAGAAGAAGGUGGAAGGCGAGGUGGAAAUGGAGGUCAUUUGACCUGCCAGGCGCCCUUCGCAAAGAGUGACGAGGCCCCGUGGGAGAACGGACUCCUCAGACUCUCCCCAAUAGCGGAAGUCGAUCUUCUGAAGGAUGGCCAAUCUGCUCCGGCCCUGGUCUUCCCCCAUCCCGGUGGACAGACUUAACGAUCCUUGCUGCAGUCCCUCCGGAGAGGAUCUGGACUGGCUGGGAGUGGGGAGGGCGUGGAGACAGUCUACGGAAAGCGCUAGCAGACCCCCGAGAGGGUGCAGUGGAGCCCUGAGCAUUGUAAUAUGCGGCCCAGCCUAUAAACAGCCUCCGUGCUU
rnacentral:lncRNA from 1 species